CACGUAGGGUGCGAGCGUUGUCCGGAAUUAUUGGGCGUAAAGAGCUCGUAGGCGGUGUGUCGCGUCGGCCGUGAAAACUUGCAGCUUAACUGUGGGCGUGCGGUCGAUACGGGCAUCACUGGAGUUCGGCAGGGAGACUGGAAUUCCUGGUGUAGCGGUGAAAUGCGCAGAUAGUCAGGAGGAACACCGGUGGCGAAGGCGGGUCUCUGGGCCGAUGACUGACGCUGGAGGAG
rnacentral:rRNA from 1 species